rnacentral:rRNA from 1 species
CUAACUGGAGGACCGAACUGACUAAUGUUGAAAACUUAGCGGAUGACCUGUGGCUGGGGGUGAAAGGCCAAUCAAACCGGGAGAUAGCUGGUUCUCCCCGAAAGCUACUUAGGUAGCGCCUCGUGAAUUCAUCUCCGGGGGUAGAGCACUGUCUCGGCUAGGGUGCCAUCCCGGCUUACCAAUCCGAUGCAAACUGCGAAUACCGGAGAAUGCCAUCACGGGAGACACACGCAGGCUGCUAACGGCCGUCGUGAAGAGGGAAACAACCCAGACCGCCAGCCAAGGUACCAAAGUCAUGGUUAAGGGGGAAAAGAUGUGGGAAGGCCCAGAAAGCCAGGAUGUACGCUUAGAAGCAGCAAUCAUUUAAAGAAAGCGUAAUAGUUCACUGGUUGAGUCGGACUGCGCGGAAGGUAGAAAGGGG